rnacentral:rRNA from 1 species
UAGGGAAUAUUGGACAAUGGGUGAGAGCCUGAUCCAGCCAUGCCGCGUGCAGGAAGAAGGCGUUAUGCGUUGUAAACUGCUUUUUGCCAGGGGAUAAAAAGACCGUGCGCGGUUAAUUGAAGGUACCUGGUGAAUAAGCCACGGCUAACUACGUGCCAGCAGCCGCGGUAAUACGUAGGUGGCAAGCGUUGUCCGGAUUUAUUGGGUUUAAAGGGUGCGUAGGUGGCCCUGUAAGUCAGUGGUGAAAUAUCUCAGCUUAACUGAGAGGGUGCCAUUGAUACUGCAGGGCUUGAGUACAGAUGAGGUAGGCGGAAUUGACGGUGUAGCGGUGAAAUGCAUAGAUAUCGUCAAGAACACCGAUAGCGAAGGCAGCUUACCAAGCUGUAACUGACACUGAGGCACGAAAGUGUGGGGAUCAAACAGGAUUAGAUACCCAAGUAGUCCCUGAGCGGGCUGGCAAGGCGCAU